CCUACGGGGGGCAGCAGUGGGGAAUAUUGCACAAUGGGGGAAACCCUGAUGCAGCGACGCCGCGUGAGUGAAGAAGUAUUUCGUUACGUAAAGCUCUAUCAGCAGGGAAGAAAAUGACGGUACCUGAGUAAGAAGCCCCGGCUAAGUACGUGCCAGCAGCCGCGGUAAUACGUAGGGGGCAAGCGUUAUCCGGAUUUACGGGGUGUUAAGGGAGUGUAGACGGUGCGCCAAGUCUGGAGUGAAAUGCCGCAGCUUAACUGCGGAACUGCUUUGGAAACUGGCGAACUAGAGUGCGGGAGGGGUAAGCGGAAUGCCUGGUGUAGCGGUGAAAUGCGGAGAUAUUAGGCGGAACACCGAUGGCGAAGGCGGCUUACUGAACCGUAACUGACGUUGAGGCACGAAAGCGUGGGGAGCAAACAGGAUCAGAUACCCUAGUAGUC
rnacentral:rRNA from 1 species